UAGUCCACGCCGUAAACGAUGGUCACUAGCUGUUCGGCAUUUGCUGAGUGGCUAAGCGAAAGUGAUAAGUGACCCACCUGGGGAGUACGUUCGCAAGAAUGAAACUCAAAGGAAUUGACGGGGGCCCGCACAAGCGGUGGAGCAUGUGGUUUAAUUCGAUGAUACGCGAGGAACCUUACCAGGGCUUAAAUGGGAGAUGACAGGAGCAGAGACGCUCUUUUCUUCGGACAUCUUUCAAGGUGCUGCAUGGUUGUCGUCAGCUCGUGCCGUGAGGUGUCAGGUUAAGUCCUAUAACGAGCGCAACCCCUACCGUUAGUUGCCAGCAUGUAAAGAUGGGGACUCUAACGGGACUGCCGGUGCAAACCGUGAGGAAGGUGGGGAUGACGUCAAAUCAUCACGGCCCUUACGUCCUGGGGCUACACACGUGCUACAAUGGUCGGUACAGAGGGAAGCUACCCUGCAAAGGGAUGCGGAUCUAUAAAGCCGAUCACAGUUCGGAUCGGGGUCU
rnacentral:rRNA from 1 species